UCUCUGGAUUGUGGAUUUUACGGACUGCAUUCCCAUGUACUGGGUUUAGCUGGACCGUAUUGGACUGGAGGUGACAGGAUAUUUUGUACCUGCUUCGGACUGGUUCUGUCAUUAACCUACUGAGCUGGUGCUUCUGUCCCAGGUAGGCUACAUGGGCAGUCAUUUUGUGUGUGUAGGCUACAGGUUUGGUUAGGUGUUUCAAGUUCAAAUUCCAUUCUUUCUGUACAUGCAGGUAAAAUGUGUUUGAACUUACAUUUGCAUCUAUACAUGAAGUAGGCAGCCUAGAGCAGGAGGCGGGCGUCAGAUCAGAGGGUUGCAGGCAUCUCCAUCGCAUCGCUCCUAGGCAUCUGAAAGUGUACCGUUGCGCACAGAUCAUGCUGGUAACGAGUUAUUCAAAGGGUCUACCAAUCAUGGCAAAAACAUAAAUCCAGCUCCUCAGCCCAGGCAGUGCCAACAACCCAGCUGAUCCAGGAGCUGCAGCGAGGGGUAGUGAUGACACUCCGGGCACCCCGACUGCCCUCUUCAACCAUUCCCAUGGAAUUCAUCCUGUCCAGCCUCCGUCAGAUAAUCCAGCCCUCCCCCUCCUACUUCCAGAGACUAAUUUGCAGAUUCUAAUGGGUAUGUGCUAAGGAGAUGAUGAGUGAACACGCUGCCAGUUUGGUUGCAGUGUGUCACCGAAUUCCAUAGAUUCAUCAUCACUAUGUGUGGUGGAAGCUGCACAGACUACAAGGCUUCUGGGACCCCACUCCCCUCAAGCAAGACAUUUACCACCUGCUUCACCUAUGAAGGACUGAUUAUUGGCAGUGAUACCACAACGCAUACAAGCUGUUCAGCCUGCUGCCCUCCGGGUAGAGGUACAGGAGUAUCUGCUUCCGCAACUCCAGACUCGCCAACAUCUUCAUCUACCAGACUGUCAUGCCGAAUCGUCCCUCCUCUCUCCCAUCCCAGGAUGCCGAAUUAUGACCAAGUGACUGAAGAACUGCCAUACGUCUUCACUUGGUCAUGGCAUGACCAGAGGCUGUAUGCAGACUCACAGUAUAAUUCUACACGAUCCACUAUAAGUCAUAUUUUAUUUCAGGUGGUUUGAAUAGCUGUGAUACAUUAAUGAUGCCUGCCAACGAUUCUGAAUUGUGUACAGUCUGUAAUAUUUCUUCUUCAAGGGACCAGUCAAGUCGAUGUGACAGGUGAUUUUUAUACAAAACUUUGUCAAAGUUUACGUAAUUGACACAUCUGGUUGGUCCUUGUUUUGAAUUCUGAAUUGUCAAUAUACUAUAUGCCUUUAUCAGGUUUGAGCUUGGAGUUGAGUAUAUGUUAAAUUAAUAGAAUGUGUUUUUUGCUAGUCUUCACAUUAAACUUAGACCGAACUGCCUUUACCUUUGGAUCGUCUGCAGUUCCCUGUUGGCCCACUACCAUCUGCCCCGCAUGGUGCGCGACACCAGACACUGGAGCAGCUGGGUCGCCACUCAUCAACGCAGAGUGAAACAGUGCUUUGACCGCUCCCACAGGGUUAAAAGCCCCACACUUGCUCCACUGGACUGAUUGAGGAUCCGCAGGCCUACCCGGGGCCACAAGCUCAAGUCAUUCUGUUCUGCCCCACCGCAAGUGACUGAGCAGCUGGGUCCCGCCAUUUUCCGCCAUGUUCGCAAGGUGCCGCCGCCUACUGCAACAGACCUGGAGGCGACCGGCCUGUACAAGGGCCCAUCCAGGCCAUCUCAGGGACUAUGUACUCUGACAAUAUGAAUGAUGUUCCUGGGUCUCCCCUGGGGAGGGGGGAAAUGUUAUGUCUGCUCUGUUGCCUGUGCUGAUAUUUCAUAUUUCCUGAUGCUACUUGAAGACGACAUAAUAACAUUUGUGCAGGGCAUGCUGGGAUGCGAGUUCAGUGAAAUAAACGUCUGGUAUGGCUAGACUUUGACA